UACAUAUUUUCUGUGAAUAUAUAUAUGUAUAUAUAUAUUUUUCUUGUACAUACAUUUAUAUAUCUUCAACAUAAAACAUUUUAUUUAAAAUUUCUCUUUGACAUACAAAACAUCUUUGAAUGGACAAGUUGAAUGAGAAAGGAGUAUAUACAAAAGGCUAUGAGUGUAUUUAAAAUCGUAGGUGGGCGCUGACAGACAGACAGAGAAAGAUAAAAGGUGAAAGAUGAGUGGAGGGAGGCAACAGAAAGGAAGUAUAGGAUCUGGGACAGAGUUGUGAAAUUUAUGUGUGGGUGCAGAGUAGGUUUUACUUGUGGUUUGAUCGUGCUGUGUUGUUACGGCGAUACCGCACUGCCGGGACAAACUACCCUCAACAACACCGUCGUUGAGUCAAUUUAAGUACUCCACUAUUUUUAAAUGAGAAUAUCCUUCUUCGUUGCCUGAGUCGGCCCCUUUGGCUGCUAAUUAGCACUUUUAAUGAAAUUGCUCGCCUCACUGACUGUGAUCCUACCACACGUAGUGUACGCAUUUGAGAAAACGUGGCGUAAAUUUCUCCGGCAAUGGUGUUCUACAUCUUACCCUAAGUUAUAAGAGAUCACCUGUCUUCGACUUUUGUCAAAAAUUUUCCACAGUUAACGAUGGUGUACUAGUGCCUACCAAUGGGAGUUUUGAGGGUUAUCUGCACUGUGCGUACAAUUUAACUUUUCUUCGAAGGACUGAUGGCGACUGUGCCUCAAAAAUGUCACGAGACCAAUUGCGGGCGCGGUCUGCAAGGCAAGGACAGUGUCCCUAGAGUCAACUAAUGAUUUUCUUUCUAAAUACCAGCUAAGAGGAACAAGGUGCAGGUUAAACCACGGUUCAUUAAGGCUACUCUCCUCACACUAAAGGAACGGGUCCGAGGUUAGAGGAAGGGGGUAAGGGUUGGGGUGAUGUUUGAGGGGUGAGGGUCGGGUUGUAACUAGCAGAAUGAGAGCUGAACUACUUCGGAUUCCAUAAAAGGGAGUUUCGUGAAUGUUAUUCAAAACAGUCUCAAUGAUCCAAUGAAACAUAUUGGAGAAUUGGAUUUCCAGGAUAUCGUGACAGUUACCUACGAACAGAUGGUUCCAAAUGUUGGGUAGUAUCACGGACAGCAUCUGCCAAGUACACCUGUUGGUAAUAACACAGUCACAUAAGAGGUAGUAGGUAUCAAGAGUCACUAAAGAGACUGAAUGCGUGAAUUGCACCCAAGCCUGGUCCUGCCGUUAGAGGUUUUACGACUGCUGUAGCACUUGGUGAAUUACAGCAGUGGGAACCAUAACUAUUCCUAAAAAACAACCCUGCUCCCAAGCAAAAACCUACCAUUGACUAAUGAUCCUAGCACCUGAGUUUAGUGUCAUGACUGUGCCACCAGGUUACUGGAUGUACUCAAACACACUGAUACACAUACAUUCAAAGGAUCGCCAGGCGUUCUUUUUCUAGUGAAUGUCAAGAUAUUAUGGAUCUAGUUUUUGAGUCGGUCAUCAAUAUAUGUAAUAAAUACAAGCCGCUACCCCGUCACCCCUAGAGGUUUAUAUGGUGUGGUAGCCCUUCAUUCCCAAUCCAUGAAGAAGGUUUCGGUUUGUAACUGCAGGGGCUGGAUAAGAGGAUACGGGUGUCAAAAGAGGACAUUGCACGAAUGGAUUUCUCAUGAGAAACUGGUGAAGCAGGUGGGACUUCAGUGGUGAAGUGACGAACACAGGCAAAAACGUUCCGUGCAGAAUGCUCGAGCAUUUUUAGAAUGCUCUAGAAUCUUCUAAAAUGUUACACAAUGUUCUACAAUGUUCUACACUCCAGUGUAUUUCAGAGUGUUCGAGGACGUUCGAGAAUGUUCUCGAAUAUUCCAUAUCCUGUUACGGUGGGGAUACGUUCCAUCUCAGAAGAUGGAUAUAGAUGAUAGCGAGGCGCAUGCGCCAGUAUGCU